UACGUAGGGUGCGAGCGUUGUCCGGAUUUAUUGGGCGUAAAGAGCUUGUAGGCGGCUCGUCACGUCGGGUGUGAAAACUCGCGGCUCAACCGCGAGCCUGCACCCGAUACGGGCGGGCUAGAGUUCGGCAGGGGAGACUGGAAUUCCUGGUGUAGCGGUGGAAUGCGCAGAUAUCAGGAGGAACACCGGUGGCGAAGGCGGGUCUCUGGGCCGAUACUGACGCUGAGGUGCGAAAGCGUGGGGAGCAAACAGG
rnacentral:rRNA from 1 species